UACGGGGGGGGCAAGCGUUGUUCGGAAUUACUGGGCGUAAAGGGUCCGUAGGUGGCUUGCUAAGUCAGACGUGAAAUCCCUCGGCUUAACCGGGGAACUGCGUCUGAGACUGGCGAGCUUGAGUGCAGGAGAGGAACGCGGAAUUCCAGGUGUAGCAGUGAAAUGCGUAGAUAUCGUAAGGAAGACCAGUGGCGGAAGGCGGGUCUCGUGGACAGUUCCUUCGAG
rnacentral:rRNA from 1 species